rnacentral:lncRNA from 1 species
UUGCACAUGAUGCCACGUUGCAAAAUACAAUGGUUACAUUCAGCUGUCCUCUCCCAUGGAGUUUCUGCUACACUUUUGCUGCAAUGGAGCAGUCACCAGUCACUACAUGCAAAUAUUUCCAGGAGUGAGGAGCUCAGGGUAAAGAGGACAUCAGAGAAACCACAGCUGUGCCUCUUGAAAGAGCAGUUUCAGGUUCGGAGCAAACUGGGGGAAUCACAGAGCCCAGCCUUCUCCUCCUGCCCCACACACUGACCCCAUCGGCCCUCGUCAACCUGCUCUUCUCGCCGGAGCCUUGCUUGACAGCUGCUGCCACUUCAUCCCUGCACUGUCCUCGCCACGGGUGCCUCACACCAGCACGCCCCUCUUCUAACAUGUGCCUGGGACAGAGGCCCAGGGGCUGUGUCCAGCGCGACACCAUCACACAGAGUGGUUCCGUGGCCUCGGUGCCCUCCGCGCUCCAGUGACGUCCUUGUCAGUGCCAGCCCUUGAUCUUCCAUUAUCCCCG